AGUGUAGGCGGUUUGCCAAGUCGGUUGUGAAAUCUCCCGGCUUAACUGGGAGGGUGCGACUGAAACUGGCAGGCUGGAGUGCGGGAGAGGAGAGUGGAAUUCCUGGUGUAGCGGUGAAAUGCGUAGAUAUCAGGAGGAACACCGGUGGUGAAGACGGCUCUCUGGACCGCUACUGACGCUGAGACUCGAAAGCGUGGGGAGCAAACAGGAUUAGAUACCCUGGUAGUCCACGCCCUAAACGAUGCGUACUUGGUGUAGGCUCUUCACUGAGUCUGUGCCGGAGUUAACACAUUAAGUACGCCGCCUGGGGAGUACGGUCGCAAGGCUGAA
rnacentral:rRNA from 1 species